GCCUGGGUGGCUCAGUCGGUUAAGCGUCCGACUUCGGCUCAGGUCGUGAUCUCGCGGUCCGUGAGUUCAAGCCCCGCUUCAGGCU
rnacentral:tRNA from 1 species